UUCGAUUUCAACCUCAAAAUGGCGUCCAGUGCGGAUAUCCCUCGGAAGCACUCGGCGGAGAAAGGUCGACAUAUAUCUCUGACUGCAUUGGUUUAGCUUACGACGCUGUCACGUGAUGAACGAAGGAGUCAAACCCGAGGACUUGUCAGAUAAGAGAGAAUGGGAAGUGGGGACCUGACAAGAGCUGAGAUGAUAGAGCUGGAUAAAGAAGGACGCGGUCUCUUGACAUGUCUUCACCACAAAACUUCAAAUGCUAUUAGAUUAUUAAUGAUAAUCUUAAACUAUAAUUUAAAUUAUUAAUAAGUUUAUUUAUUUUAUUUAGCCUUGUUGUGCAAGUUCUCUGGAGCUUGUGCAGAGGCAGCAGCUUUUGCCAGAGGGGAACUGGAAUCCCCUGGUUGGGCCUGGGUUCUCCUGAGGUUUUUUUUCUCCAUUAGAGUUUUGGGUUCCUCGCCACCGUUUGCAUACUGUUUUUGCACUAUCUGCCUGACCGGGGGGGCUGCUUUAGAAUCUUAAAGUUUUACUUAAUUAAUAUUGCAUAUAGGAGUUUAUUAUCUGUUAUAUUUGACCUGUGCUUCUCUCUCCUUUAUCCUAAAUGUGUGCUCUCACUGAGCGUGUGUGUGUGUGCGUACUUGUCUCUGUACGUACGUGUGUGUGUGUCUCUGUGUCUGUGUGUGUUGGUGCGUGUGCGUGUUGUGUGUGUGGAGUGUUUUGUGUGUGGGUGUGUCUGUCUUCUGUGUUUUCAACCUUUUCUUGUUUUUGCAGGUACAACUUUGAUUGUUUUGCUUGUAGUCAAUGUGUCUCAUGUGCAGCUGCUUUGUAACAAUGAAAAUUGUAAAAGCGCUUUAUAAAUAAAGUUGAGUUGAG